ensembl:lncRNA
UGGGUGAGGCUGCACACCUGUUGCAUAUUGAGCAAUCAGUGUGCAACAGGUUAAACCGGCCCUCUCCACACACACUUGGGGAGGUCUCCUGGGUGGCAGCGGAGCACUCUUGCCAAAGUUCUUUAUCAGCUUUUUGCAAUAAAACGGAAUUUUCCACCUCACAGCCCUGCUUACUUUGUCUGGAGGAGCCAAAAAGAAGUGAAUAUGUGAUCAUAGUGGAAGACGUGACCAGCCCUCCCUUCAUGGGCCAGACGCUGCCCACAGCGUUCGCUCUUCUGAGCCUCCUCCCAGCGGAGGGCUAACCCGCAGGAACCCCACCCUCCAGGGCUAGAAGUCAGAAGACCACGGGACGUCAGAAGAGAUCUCAGAAGACCUGGGGAUCUCAGAAGACCAGCUGGGAAAGCUUGUUCCAGCCAAAGACAUUGCAGCAUUUGAAUCAUCUCGGAGAGGCGCUUUCUGUAGCAUUCAAGCAUCACUUCCUGUCGCCGAACAUGGAUGCAUUCCAAACCAAACAAACCUCUGGUUUCCAGGCUCCAAUCAAUAACCCAUCUGGCUGGAACCCAGUAGGCUGUAAUGGGCGCUGGCUUGGUGGGGGAACCGAAUUCCGAAUCCCCCAUCCGGCUAGUGUUUGGAACCAGGAUAGCCUCUAGUGGAACAAGGCCCGUCGCCAAACUUGGACCUUGCUAAAAAUUCCGUUGGACAUCCUGUUAAGGAUGGGAAAAAGACUUUCGGAAAGAACUCUUUUCUUGAUCUAUUUUGGAACAUGAACACAAGCAAUCCCACUGUAAUUUGGUGCAACACAGACGUAAGCAGCCUCUGUGUGUAGACCAAGUGAGUCCGGUUGAAGCCCUCCGUGGAGCCAUGGAGGGGACGUAGGUUGUAGCCCUUGUAACGAGGCACCUCUGGCUCCCUUCGCAGCUGUACGGAAAUAGCCUCUGGUAACCAGAGGAUAUUGGACCAAACAUAUUCACUGAUUCUCUGUAGAGAAUCACAUAACAUCAGAGCUUAUCCAGCAAGAUGCAGUCAAUAGAGUAUCACAACUCGGCCAACUCUCCGAGACUCUCUCCAAACGGGGGUAACUCAAACUUCGGAACACAAACGAGGAACUAAAUCUGGCUUUGUUUUCAUGCGUCUGGAUGAUGGAUGAAAGCUCCCAUUGACAGAUUACAACACACACACACACACACACACACACACACACACACACACACACACACACACACACACACACACACACAGAAACACACACACACACACACAGAAACAUGCAAGCACACACAUGCAAAUGCGUGCGCAGGCACACACAUGCAAAACUAGGGGUGAUCAUACUCUUGGGGUAGGGCAUGGUCCUUCGCUGUGGAACCCAAUCCCUCAUCCUCUGAGAACUUUGGACUCCGUGGACACUUCGAUAAUACAGCCGUGCUGGUCUUUUCAGAAUGUUUCUUGGUUUUUA